UAGGGAAUCUUCCGCAAUGGACGCAAGUCUGACGGAGCAACGCCGCGUGAGUGAAGAAGGAUUUCGGUUCGUAAAACUCUGUUGUUAGAGAAGAACAGCGCAUAGAGUAACUGUUAUGCGUGUGACGGUAUCUAACCAGAAAGCCACGGCUAACUACGUGCCAGCAGCCGCGGUAAUACGUAGGUGGCAAGCGUUGUCCGGAUUUAUUGGGCGUAAAGCGAGCGCAGGCGGUCAAUUAAGUCUGAUGUGAAAGCCCCCGGCUCAACCGGGGAGGGUCAUUGGAAACUGGUUGACUUGAGUGCAGAAGAGGAGAGUGGAAUUCCAUGUGUAGCGGUGAAAUGCGUAGAUAUAUGGAGGAAUACCGGUGGCGAAGGCGACUUUCUGGCCAUAAUCUGACGCUGAGGUACGAAAGCGUGGGUAGCAAACAGG
rnacentral:rRNA from 1 species